AACGCGAAGAACCUUACCUGGGCUUGAACCGCACAGGACCAGCUUUAGAAAUAGAGCCUUCCCGCAAGGGACCUGUGUAGAGGUGCUGCAUGGCUGUCGUCAGCUCGUGCCGUGAGGUGUUGGGUUAAGUCCCGCAACGAGCGCAACCCUUACUCGUAGUUGCCACCCGCAAGGGGGAACUCUACGAGGACUGCUCCGGAUAACGGAGAGGAAGGUGGGGAUGAGGUCAAGUCAGCAUGGCCUUUAUGUCCAGGGCUACACACGUGUUACAAUGCGCGCUACAAAGUGUCGCGAACCCGCGAGGGGGAGCUAAUCGCAAAAAAGCGCGCUCAGUUCGGAUUGCAGUCUGCAACUCGACUGCAUGAAGCUGGAAUCGCUAGUAAUGGCGCAUCAGAUCGGCGCCGUGAAUACGUUCCCGGGUCUGUACACACCG
rnacentral:rRNA from 1 species